UAGAAGAGGGAAUGCCGGAAUGAGUAGCGAGAGAAAGGUGGGAAUCCUUUCGGCCGAAUAUCUAAGGUUUCCAGAGUAAAGCUGAUCUGCUCUGGGUAAGUCGGGGCCUAAGCACAGGUCGCAAGACGUAAGCGAUGGAUAACAGGUUUAGAUUCCUGUACCACGCAUUAUCAGAACUGUAGGGACGCAUGUGGAAAGCACGAGCCGGGAAUGGAAAGACCGGUACAAGCGGGGUAGGUGUACAACAGGCAAAUCCGUUGUAAUCCGAAGACGUGAUGUGGAGCGAAAUAAAGUAGUGAAGCGUGUGAGCCAUGUGCCGAGAAAAGCUGCUAUUGUGUAAUGCGUGCCCGUACCGUAAACCGACACAGGUGGAUGAGGAGAGAAUCCUAAGGCCGACGGAAGAAGCAUUGUUAAGGAAUUCGGCAAAAUGACCCCGUAACUUCGGGAGAAGGGGUGCCUGCGAGAGCAGGCCGCAGAGAAUAGGCUCAAGCAACUGUUUAGCAAAAACACAGGUCUAUGCGAAACCGAAAGGUGAAGUAUAUGGGCUGACGCCUGCCCGGUGCUGGAAGGUUAAGAGGAGAGGUUAGCGUAAGCGAAGCUUUGAAUUUAAGCCCCAGUAAACGGCGGCCGUAACAAUAACGGUCCUAAGGUAGCGAAAUUCCUUGUCGGGUAAGUUCCGACCCGCACGAAAGGCGUAACGAUUUGAGCACUGUCUCGACAAUGCAUCCGGUGAAAUUGAAGUACCAGUGAAGAUGCUGGUUACCCGCGCCAGGACGGAAAGACCCCAUGGAGCUUUACUCCAGUUUGAUACUGGGAUUCGGUACUGCAUGUACAGGAUAGGUGGGAGACAAAGAAGGAUGGAUGCCAGUCUGUCCGGAGUCGCUGUUGGGAUACCACCCCUGUAGUACUGGGUUUCUAACCAGUUGCCAUGAACUGGCAAUGGGACAAUGUCAGGCGGGGAGUUUGACUGGGGCGGUCGCCUCCGAAAGGGUAUCGGAGGCGCUCAAAGGUUCCCUCAGAAUGGUUGGAAACCAUUUGAAGAGUGCAAAGGCAGAAGGGAGCUUGACUGCGACACCGACGGGUGGAGCAGGUACGAAAGUAGGACUUAGUGAUCCGGUGGUAUAAAGUGGGAUUGCCGUCGCUCAACGGAUAAAAGCUACCCUGGAUAACAGGCUUAUCACUCCCAAGAGUUCACAUCGACGGAGUGGUUUGGCACCUCGAUGUCGGCUCAUCGCAUCCUGGGGCUGUAGCAGGUCCCAAGGGUUGGGCUGUUCGCCCAUUAAAGCGGUACGCGAGCUGGGUUCAGAACGUCGUGAGACAGUUCGGUCCCUAUCCGGCGCGGGCGGAGGAUAUUUGAGAGGAGCUGUCCUUAGUACGAGAGGACCGGGAUGGACGGACCACUGGUGUAUCUGUUGUCGACCAACGGCAUGGCAGAGUAGCCAAGUCUGGAAGGGAUAAACGCUGAAGGCAUCUAAGCGUGAAGCCCCCCUCAAGAUGAGAUAUCCCUCCUUCGGGAGUAAGACCCCUUGAAGACUACAAGGUAGAUAGGGCAGAGGUGGAAGCAUGGCAACAUGUGGAGCUGACUGUUACUAAUAGGUCGAGGGCUUAAU
rnacentral:rRNA from 1 species